rnacentral:lncRNA from 1 species
AAGUCUAUUCACAGCAGCGGCAUUAAACCAGCCCUGCCAGCAUCCACCCUGCAUCCGGGCCACUCGGGGGCUGGUCACCUCCGAGGGCGGCCCCCAGCCUCAGUCCAACAUCCUUUUCUCCAUCAGCAAUGAGAGCGUUGCGCUGGUGAGCGCUGCUGGGCUGGUACAGGGCCUCGCCAUCGGGAACGGCACUGUGUCUGGGCUCGUGCAGGCAGUGGAUGCAGAGACCGGCAAGGUGGUCAUCAUCUCUCAGUUGGGGAGGAAUUGGGUUCAUCUCCCACUGCUUGAAGGAGGCAGCAAAGCUUCUGGGGGCAUUCCCAGUGCUGGGAGCUACUGCUCACUGGGCCUGACUUCUCCCCUGCAGAUGCCCAUCUAUGUCACCGGCAUCACCAACCACCAGAACCCUUUCUCCUUUGGCAAUGCCGUGCCAGGCCUGACCUUCCACUGGUCUGUCACCAAGCGGGACGUCCUGGA